GUGGCUAGAACUUCCAGUACUAUGUUGAAUAACAGUGGAGAAGAGACAUCAGAGACCCAUGUGUACACAGAGAUAGAGGCUGUGUGAGGACACAAUGAGAAGGCAUCAUCUGUGACCUUAAAGAGAGCUCUUCCUAGAAACCAACACUGCUGGCGCCUUGAUCUUGAACUUUUCUCCCCAGAACUGUGAGAAAACCGUUUUUUUCCUUUUCUAUUAUGGUUUAUAACAGGAUACUGAAUAUAGUUCCAUGUGCUAUACUAUAGGACCUUGUUUUUUUUUUUUAUUCAUCCUACAUAUAAUAAUUUGCAGCUACUAAUGCCAAACUCCUAAUCCAUCCUUCCAUCCCCCGCCACCCCUGCCCCAUACCCCUUGGCAACCACAAAGUCUGUGAGUGUAUGAAAAACUAAUUUCUGUUGUUUAAGCCACCUGGUCGGUCUAUGAUAUCCUGUUAAAGCAUCCUGAGAUGACUAAUACAGUUGUCUCUUUCUCUGUAUGUGUGUGUGUGUGUAAGAGAGAGAGGGUGUGUAGGAAUGAGUGCGUGGGACCCUGAGUGGGCAACUCUAUAGAACUAUGAUUUGACUGACAGAAAGAUUCCAAUAGAUAUGGUUAAAAUGUGUAAAGUUUCUAUAAAGACAUAGGAUAUAGAAACUGGCAGAAAGAGGUUUUUUAAUUUUAUUUUAUUUUUAUUACAGUAUAGUUGAUUUACAGUGUUGUGUCAGUUAGAAUGUAUAUGUAUAUGUAUGACUUGGUCACUGUGCUAUACAGCAGAAGUUCACAGAAAGUUUUAUUUUUUUAAUUAAAAAAUUAUUUUAUUUAUUUAUUUUUGGUUUUUUUAGGGUCACACUCAUGGCAUAUGGAAGGUCCCAUCGUAGGGAUUGGAUCAGAGCUGUAGAUGCUAGCCUACACCACAAUCACAUUAAUGCGGGAUCUGAGCCACGUCUGCAACCUACACUGCAGGUCAUGGCCCACCGGAUCCUUAACCCACUGAGUGAGGCUAGGGGCUGAACUCUUGUCCUCAUGAAUGCUAGUCAGAUUCAUUUCUUUUCUCUCUCUUUUUUUUUUUUUUUUUAGUAUGCUUGUGAGAAUCCUCAAAAGUUGUUUUAUGUUAUAAUUGUUCAUUGUUAUUACUAUAUAAUACUCCAUGCAUGAAUACUCCACUCUUUUUUUUUAAAUUUUAUUUUCCCACUGUACAGCAAGGGGAUCAAGUUAUCCUUACAUGUAUACAUUACAUUUUUCCCCCCACUCUUUGUUCUGUUGCAACAUGAGUAUCUAGACAUAGUUCUCAAUGCUACUCAGCAGGAUCUCCUUGUAAAUCUAUUCUAAGUUGUGUCUGAUAACCCCAAGCUCCCGAUCCUUCCCACUCCCUCCCUCUCCCAUCAGGCAGCCACAAGUCUGUUUUCCAAGUCCAUGAUUUUUUUUUGUGGACAUCUCCAAAGAUUCAUUUCUACUGAGCCAUGACAGGAAUUCCCAGAAAGGGUUUUAUAAGGAAGAACACAAUACAGUGUACAUACAGGAUUAUCAGGGCUGUGAACUGUUUUCUGCACCCUAACAGCUGCUGCUCCAUGGUUUGUAGGGAGUGUGGAUUCCACUAGGCAUGAGAGCCCUGUUGCUGACCUUCUGAGAGCCUACCGAUUCUCACUGAUAACUGUCCUGGAGAUACUGAAUAGCUGCCUAUCUGAGCAUUGGGUGCAGCUAGUCUCAAACAGCCUAGUAUAUUCCUGCAAUUUUUUUAUUAGUGUUGGUGAAGAAAAGAUCAAUUAAAAAAAUCACUAAAUCCAUAGAGACUCAUGAGACAAGUUGAAAUUAUCAUGGAGUCAUCACAGUUCAGGCAUAUAAAAAUGCAUUCAGGUGGCCAUUGAGGAUCUGGUAUCAGACAUGUCCCUGUACCACUGGGAACUUGGACUUUCUUUGAACUGUACCAGACCCAAGGGCACCAUUCGUGGUAUUUGGAAUAACAUCUGCCAGCUGCAACCUUGUGAUCCCAAGGUCUGUCCUUGUAUCUGUGCAACCAUUUCAGACCCCAACCAACCCUUACUUAACAAAUACCCUCACUUAUUAUCAGCUCCAUUUAUAAUUUUUGACAAAAAACAUUUGUAACUAACUGUGGCCUUGCACCCUUUGCUUUAUAAGCUUACUCUAUUUGUAGUCUGGCAGAAUACAGUUCAAGUCCUUCUUGAAUCUAUAUCUCUUGGGCUGCAGUUCUAACAAAUUUCUAAUAAAUCCCUCUUUAUUUCAAUCAAGUCUCCUUUUCUGAAAUAUUGGUGACAGGAGACAAGCACAAAUAUAUAAAAAUAAAAAUGUAGUUUCAUAAAUUUGAAAGCCUAAAUAACACAAAUAAUAUAAAGUAUCUCAUUGACUUAAGAAGUGGAAACUCUCGGGAGGUUCAUUAUUUAAGAGAAAAAUGAAAAUAUUCUAAAGUUUACUUCCCUGUUUCCACAAUACCUGAAAUACGUAGAUUUAUUGGUGAUUUUUGUUUAAUCUUGGGAAAAAACAUCCCUUAUUCUAUUAACUUUUCCAGAAAAUAUGAUUCUGAGAAUGCCAAAAAAUUCCAGUAUAAGGAAAUCUAAUUAAGGGGAAUACCUCAAUAGUUUAAAUAAAGAAAAAUUAUAAUAUCAUCCUAACAAAUACUUAUUGAGUGAUGGUGUUGGCCACAGAACUUUGCUAAAAGUGAAUAAAAAAAAUUAAGAAGCAUCUAGCCCUCCCAGAAGUGAAGACAAGGACAUACAAACACAAAUAAUAACAUUACACUUCAAAACAAUUAAUGAUUAAACACCAGCGUGAUUCACAUAAAGUAUACAUUUAAUAAGAACUCAGAAACAGGGAGACUGACAUAGAUCUAAAGGUGAUUCAGUCGCCUUAUUGUGCAGUAGAACAUUGACAGAACACUGUAAACCAGCUUUAAGGGAAAAAAAUCAUUAUAAAAUAAACAAAUAAACAAACAAAUAAAUAAAUAAAGGAUUUAGGCUGGACCAUUUGACUUUUUUCCGUAAGAGGCCAAUCCAUCUUGCCUACCAAAAUAACCCACAUGUGGAAAAAGAUGCAGCACUUUAUGUCUGUAAAGCAUUGUUGUGAAUACAGAUCUGAAGCCUUGUAGCAUAGUUUAGAUAAUGCAAAAAAAAAAAAAAAA
rnacentral:lncRNA from 1 species